rnacentral:snoRNA from 11 species
GGAUAUGAUGAUAGUUUUGUCGCCCCAGUCUUACCUGCAUCUCUUGAUGCYGAGAUGGUGAUCGACSUUUUAUAUCUGAUUC